UACGUAGGGACCAAGCGUUGUUCGGAUUCAUUGGGCGUAAAGGGUGCGUAGGUGGCGCUGUAAGUCGGGUGUGAAAUUUCGGAGCUUAACUCCGAAACUGCAUUCGAUACUGCGGUGCUUGAGGACUGGAGAGGAGACUGGAAUUCACGGUGUAGCAGUGAAAUGCGUAGAGAUCGUGAGGAAGACCAGUGGCGAAGGCGGGUCUCUGGACAGUUCCUGACACUGAGGCACGAAGGCCAGGGGAGCAAACGGG
rnacentral:rRNA from 1 species